rnacentral:rRNA from 1 species
AGAGUUUGAUCCUGGCUCAGAACGAACGCUGGCGGCAGGCCUCAAACAUGCAAGUCUAGGGGGUGUAGCAAUACAUCACCGGCGGACGGGUGCGUAACACGUGGGAAUAUACCUUUUGGUUCGGAACAACGCAGGGAAACUUGCGCUAAUACCGAAUGUGCCCUUACGGGGAAAGAUUUAUCGCCAAAGGAUUAGCCCGCGUAGGAUUAGCUAGUUGGUGAGGUAAUGGCUCACCAAGGCUCCGAUCCUUAGCUGUUCUGAGAGGAAGAUCAGCCACACUGGGACUGAGACACGGCCCAGACUCCUACGGGAGGCAGCAGUUGGGAAUCUUGGACAAUGGGGGAAACCCUGAUCCAGCCAUGCCGCGUGAGUGAUGAAGGCCUUCGGGUUGUAAAACUCUUUCGACGGGGACGAUAAUGACGGUACCCGUAGAAGAAGCUCCGGCUAACUUCGUGCCAGCAGCCGCGGUAAUACGAAGGGGGCUAGCGUUGUUCGGAAUUACUGGGCGUAAAGCGCGCGCAGGCGGUCUUCCAAGUCAGUGGUGAAAGCCCGGAGCUCAACUCCGGAACUGCCAUUGAAACUGUAAGACUUGAGGACGAGAGAGGUGAGUGGAAUUCCCAGUGUAGAGGUGAAAUUCGUAGAUAUUGGGAAGAACACCGGUGGCGAAGGCGGCUCACUGGCUCGUAUCUGACGCUCAGGCGCGACAGCGUGGGGAUCAAACAGGAUUAGAUACCCUAGUAGUCC